UAGAACCUAGAUCCCACACAUGUGCCAUUCACAAUAGGCUUCAUGCUCCUAUGAGAAUCUAAUGCCACUGCUGAUCUAACAGAGGCAGAGCUCAGAUGGUAAUGUGAGUGACAGAGAGUGGCUGUAAAUACAGAUGAAGCUUCACUUGCUCACCCACCACUCACCUCCUGCUGUGUAGCCUGGUUCCUAACAGGCCAUGAUUGGUACCAGUCUGUGACCCAGGGUUUUGGGGACCCUGAUCUAAAACUUCUACCUACCCACACAAAUGCUAUAAUAAAAAGACCCAAAAUAUCAUGGCUUAAACAUGAUAGUUUAUUUUUUUCUUUCACAUAACCAUGCAAAUAUAAGUACUCUGGGGCUACCAUGGUAGACUUUAGUUGUUCUCCCUUCUUCAAGGAAGUAGUCCUUGUCUUGAA